rnacentral:pre_miRNA from 1 species
AUUGCAAUUGUUGGAUGGUAUGUUAAGAGUAUAUUUAGUUUGGUGAGAAGCUGCCAAAUUAUCUUCCAAAGUUACUGUAACAUUUUGCACUCCCACCAGCAAU